rnacentral:rRNA from 1 species
AACUUCUGAAUGUUGACCUCGGAUCAGGUAGGAAUACCCGCUGAACUUAAGCAUAUCAAUAAGCGGAGGAAAAGAAACCAACAGGGAUUGCCCUAGUAACGGCGAGUGAAGCGGCAACAGCUCAAAUUUGAAAUCUGGCUCUCGGGCCCGAGUUGUAAUUUGUAGAGGAUGCUUUUGAUGCGGUGCCUUCCGAGUUCCCUGGAACGGGACGCCAUAGAGGGUGAGAGCCCCGUCUGGUUGGAUGCCAAAUCUCUGUAAAGCUCCUUCGACGAGUCGAGUAGUUUGGGAAUGCUGCUCUAAAUGGGAGGUAUAUGUCUUCUAAAGCUAAAUAUUGGCCAGAGACCGAUAGCGCACAAGUAGAGUGAUCGAAAGAUGAAAAGCACUUUGAAAAGAGAGUUAAAAAGUACGUGAAAUUGUUGAAAGGGAAGCGUUUAUGACCAGACUUGGGCUUGGUUAAUCAUCUGGGGUUCUCCCCAGUGCACUUUUCCAGUCCAGGCCAGCAUCAGUUUUCGCCGGGGGAUAAAGGCUUCGGGAAUGUGGCUCUCUCCGGGGAGUGUUAUAGCCCGUUGCGUAAUACCCUGGCGGGGACUGAGGUUCGCGC